UUUUAGUGACAAUAACAACAUAUCCUCUAAAAAAGGCUCUCUGUACUUUUAUACUGCCCUCACCUGAUGAAGCCCACAAAGGACACACACACACACAUACAUACACACACACACACACACACACACACACACACACACACACACACACACAUAAUAGAAAUUAGAUCCCUAGCUGCAGGUAAGAAAACUCUCCAGGUCUUUACCAGAUGAUUCAAUUAUUCAGUGUGUCAGGAUCGGACCAACACACGCACGCACACGCGCACACACACACACACACACACUCACAACCUCACUCUCUCUCAUAGGCAAUGAUACUGGGUGUGUGUCCUAUCAGGAUGAUUCUNNNNNNNNNNGCGGAUGGCGGUUGCUAGGUAACCAGGUAGAAUAGGGCUUGAAUUACACCGGUGUCUCUCCCUGUCCCAAAUGCAGGCACCUCUUUUCCCCGACCUCAUCCGCUCUUUCCUAAAGCUAGACACCCAUCUCUUAUUUUUUGGUGGAGUUUGAGGCCUCUGCGAGGAGAAGCAAUAUAAAACCAACCGAAAAGUACUACAUCUUACAUUUGGAACCUUUUGGAACUCUCUAGAACCUUCCAGAACCUUGAAGAACGUUAGAAUUUUCUGAUCCCUGUUGACGUCUACUAGGAGCCACCUGAGGAACUGAAGCAACUUUUUCGCUUUUCUCCGACUAGUCUGUUGUCUCUACUGGUCUGUACUGGUCUGAACUGGUUGUGUGGUUUGUACUGGUCUGAACUGGUCUGAACUGGUCUGAACUGGUCUGUAGUGGUCAAGAUGCGACGGUUUGUGCUUAAGGCCCUCUGUGCAGCAUUGCUGGUCUUUGCAGUGUUGAGCGCCACUUCCUGUCAGUCGGACUCUUCAGACUGCUCCCAGGCUGAGUCAUGUGACCUGUGUGUUGGAGACUCCACCCUCAACUUGACUGGCUGUGUCUGGAGGGUCUGCGUGAACGGCAAUGAUACUGGGUGUGUGUCCUAUCAGGAUGAUUC
rnacentral:lncRNA from 13 species